rnacentral:rRNA from 1 species
UACGUAGGGUGCAAGCGUUAAUCGGAAUUACUGGGCGUAAAGCGUGCGCAGGCGGUUUGUAAGUCAGAUGUGAAAUCCCCGGGCUUAACCUGGGAACUGCGUUUGAAACUACAAGGCUAGAGUGUGGCAGAGGGGGUGGAAUUCCACGUGUAGCAGUGAAAUGCGUAGAGAUGUGGAGGAACACCGAUGGCGAAGGCAGCCCCUGGGUUAACACUGACGCUCAGGCACGAAAGCGUGGGGAGCAAACAGG